CGCACGGGUGAGUAACACGUAUCCAACCUGCCGUCUACUCUUGGACAGCCUUCUGAAGGAAGAUUAAUACAAGAUGGCAUCAUGAGUCCGCAUGUUCACAUGAUUAAAGGUAUUCCGGUAGACGAUGGGGAUGCGUUCCAUUAGAUAGUAGGCGGGGUAACGGCCCACCUAGUCUUCGAUGGAUAGGGGUUCUGAGAGGAAGGUCCCCCACAUUGGAACUGAGACACGGUCCAAACUCCUACGGGAGGCAGCAUG
rnacentral:rRNA from 1 species